rnacentral:rRNA from 1 species
UACGGGGGGGGUAAGCGUUGUUCGGAAUUACUGGGCGUAAAGGGCUCGUAGGCGGCCAACUAAGUCAUACGUGAAAUCCCUCAGCUUAACUGGGGAACUGCGUGUGAUACUGGAUGGCUUGGAUUUGGGAGAGGGAUGCGGAAUUCCAGGUGUAGCGGUGAAAUGCGUAGAUAUCUGGAGGAACACCGGUGGCGAAGGCGGCAUCCUGGACCAAUAUUGACGCUGAGGAGCGAAAAGCCAGGGGAGCAAAGC